UGUCGGCCCAUGUACAACGCGUAUUGAAACGCAGCGCCCAGACUUCAACUAAUCUGCCCUCAAUAAAGCUGAAAUAAUUAUCCUAAGCUGCCUUUCCAGAAGAAAAAUCAUUGAGGAAUUCAAAACUUUUUUUAAAAAGAUCUUUUCUACAUUCCGAUGCAGAUCUGGGGGCGCGGCGCCGGGUACACACCACUCAGGAGAGCUCAAUGAGGGAGAAGUGGAAAAAAAGAAGUUGUGGGAGAAUUUAAACGUGAACCCAACUGGAGGCUGGAGCCAAAAUGGUCGCAGGCCCUAAAUCUCAAGCUCGGAUCUUUCUUAGGCCUUGAUCCGACAGUGCCAGGUUUUAAAGGGCCGAGGAGUGCAAACUCGGUUUGAGGGUGACACCGAAUGUUUGGGUUAGGCUAGGGGACUAUACUGGCUCUUUAGCAGGGGGCAGCUCAGGGGCCUAAACUCGCUGACCAGGGCAGAAUAAUGUUCACCCUAAAAGGUAGAUCCGUCGAGCCCCACUUUUGGCGGUCUCUCUCUCUCUCCAAACAUCUUCAUCUGCACCAGGAGUGCUUUUCCGCUCAACUGCAAGGCUCUGGGCGGUCGCUCUUUGCGGGCCCAGAAAGAGCCCAAAGGUUGGGACACAAAAACAGACACUUCAUCUUUUCUUCCGGACCCCUUUCUCUUGUAGGGGGAAGGAUUAUAGACUGAAAGGUGGGAGGGAGAAGGGGCAGGAGGAGGAAGCAGGGGGAGGAAGGAAUGAAAAGGGGGAGGGGAGUGGGUAUUGUGCCGCGUGUGGAGGGGGAGAAUUCCUACGGGUGGGUUUCCGAAUAUUGUGUUCAACUUUUUGAAAGCAGCUCGUGACCCCGAAACUGCAUCCCCCGGAGCCGGGGACCCAGGCGCCAGGCGGGCGGGUGAACCCGGCCAGUCCCUCCCAAUCCCCGCAACCCCCCGCCUCCGAGUGGGGGGGAUCCAGGCCUGGAGGGAGGCUGGGCAGGUGCCGAGGGCUGUGCCGACAGCGCUGAAAUCGAAAACCCUCGCCACUCAUGAAGAACUGAGGCAAAAGGAUCACAGAUGCUGCUCGGGGCCAGCCCUAUACUCCCUCCAGUGCCUGGUCUCCGGUGGACCCGCGGGGCUCUGCAGUUCUCUGGCGGCCGCGCCUUGUAAGCGCUAAGCCGGGAGGAGGGCGCAGGCAGGGCGCACAGCUCUGAGCGCGACCCUACCCGGCUCGGGCCCGCAGCAACCCCGACUGUCCGAGAGCCUCUCCCCAAGCAAGGCUCUGCGCCGCCCUCUGAGCCCACCUCCUGGCCACAACGCUGCCUGCGCUUCUCCAGCCCAGGCCGGAAGCCCUAUGCUGCCUCCCGAAGCCGACUCAAGGACUGGGGACUUGGUGGAUCUAUGGCAUUGGUACCCACAGAGGUCACCUGCACAGAUAAAUCUGUCGCCACCCUUCAACCCUGGCCUACCGGAUCUGCGGGGAGAAAUGCAGCAUUUGAAUUGGGGAGUGUUCAGUCCUGCUCUGCGGGGCAUUUAUUUACAAAUAUCAGCUGCAACCCAGCCUUGAUAACGUCUCAUACAGUCAGAGGACUUUGCGGGAAGCACACUUCCUCCUUGUUUGGGGCUACAGGGAAAGCCCAGGAAAGCGAGUCCCAGAAGGCCUGGGACAGCUACACCCAGUUCACCCAUGCUCAACCCGGAACAGCCGACCCAAACGGUCAGGAAGGACUUUCUGGAAGCCCAUCUUCGUAUGCUCACCAGCCCACCCUCCUACGCUGGUCAGAGUGAGAUUGCUAACCUCAAGACCCCAUUCAAUGCCAGCUUUCAACUACUGCUGAAGACCAAUGUAGGUCCUGGAAUAGAAGAACUGCAGAGUGGGGCUGCGUAGAGGAUUCGGCAGUUUCUCGGCCACAAGGACGGAGUUUCCUAAGAAGGGAAAGAAGAGUGCGGGCAGAGAGGAGAGGUCCGAGGGGGAAAAGAGAGGCCUGAGGACGCUCUGGCGGCUCCAGUACCAAGCCUUGGUAUCUUUGGGAUUCUGGGGAGAGUGGAAGGGUUUACAAACUACACAUAAAUCGGUGAACUUGAACCACUGUGUAUCCCGAUUUUGCAUUGAGCCGGGCCCUGCGCACCCGGAAUGCUGAAGUGGCCAAGGGCAGAGAGGGGUGUAUUUGCAACUCGUGGUUUCUUCGGUUAAACAAACCCCAACCCGUAGCCUCAGCAACAACAACAAAAACUGCAAGUGCAGGAAGCAAAAUUAAACAUAAUUCCUUUUAUUUAUCUGUUGCAUUUAUAUCAUUAAAAUAUUUUUGGUUACGUUGUAUAGAAUAGCAUCCACUCUGAUUAUUACCUGCCAUAUCGGCUGUAUUCAACACAGCAAAAUUAACAAUUAAGAAAAUAAAGGCACAUCUUAUAUAUUG
rnacentral:lncRNA from 1 species